ensembl:lncRNA
AAAAAAAAUAAUAUAAGCUCUGGUGGACUUGGUUCUAUAGUAGGUCUUAAAGGGUUAAAUAAAUAUCGUCAAAUAAUCGUGAUCUCAAUUUCAGUGAAAAUAAUCGUGAUUAUCAUUUUUGCCAUAAUCGAGCAGCCCUACGCCUGGGUCUCAGAGGGAAAUGACUUUAGCCCAUCAUCUACAUAAAAAUGGCGCUGUUAGGUUCAAAGAUUGAGGAAAGGAGAGUACAGACAACCAUUGGUCCAGAAGAGCUUGGUCAAACGAUUGAUUUUUAAUGACACAUGUGGGAAGCCCCAGCUCUGUUCGCAGACAGGAACUGAACUUCAACUUCCUCAAAGCAUAACAGAUAUUUUAUACAAUCAGGGUUUGUAUUUACUUACGCCCCCUCAUACGUCACAAAUACAUUUUUACAUAGACCAAAUUAACACCACAAAGACUCUUAACACAGUUCAAAACAUUGUCUUCUAUCUCCAUAGCAGGUGCUUCCUGUCACUGCCGGAUGCUUGUCCUCUUGACACCUUAGCAGCAGUUCGGCGACAAACUGUUUUUGCAACCCCAGCAAAACAUGAUUAAACUUUCACCUUUAAAUGACUCUCUCUAAGUGUGUGUGCUAACCACAACUACACCCGGUUCCACCUCGACCUCUAACCAGACAGAGAGACAGAAACCACUCUUGUAUAUAUAAUAAUCGAACUGAAACUUAUGGAGAUAUCAUCUACUUAAAAUAAAUGUUUCAAUCAAGAACCUCUACUAAACAUAAUAACUGUGUGCAUAAGCAUCUUAAGGCCUUCUUAAAACUAUCUGUUACUUUGUUAAAGCAAUGAUCAUUUUGAAUAACCUAGUAAUUAAAAUAGCCUCGUUUACCCUGCUCCUCAGAAUAACUUUCGGUUUCAGUUCUGCAAACUUUCUGCAACUUCCUGUCAGCCUGCAACUCAGUCUUUUCUGAAAGACACACUGUUCAAAACGCCUUAUAAACUCCAGAUUGUCUUAUUAAUGCAAUGGUAAUAUACUUUUUCAUCCCCACACUCCCCCUUUCGACCUCUGGAACACCAGAGGUCGCAAUACAUUGUGGUUCCCUUGGUCCCUCUCUGGUGGUUCCUCAGGCCUCGAGAUCUCCCCGUGGUCGUCGAGAUCUUCUGCAAAGGAAACCUUUCCCUGCAUCUCCCUAACUUCUCCUAUUUGGGACUCUGUAAUCCAAAACCUGUUCCUAAUUAUGUUCUUUAACUUAUUGACUUGUAUUUAUAUAGAUUCUUCAACGUCACUCAUCUCUUUAAAACUCUAUUUUCCCUUCUCUGAUCAUCAACAUCCUGUCAAGUUCCUCCCUAAUUUAAGUCACCUUUUUAACAAAAAAUCAUUAGAACCAGCCUAUUCUACUAAAAGCUCCUAAAGAAAAACAACCACUUUAAUCAAUUCCGUUUAAGCAUAUAAGCAAUUCCUCCUGUAUACAUUUCAUCAUAGCUAAAUGCUGCCUUGAAACAACUCCUGUGUGUUAACACUAACUUCAUUUUUAAAACCUCAUUUCCUAUGUUAUAAUCUGUUUUUUGGUAUAGCCUUUUUAUUUCAUCUUACUCCUUUUAAUGUAACAAUACCUCUAAGUCUUACUUUAAGUUCAGUUAACAAGCUAAAUUAAUUUGAGGCCUUUUGCCUGGAAUCUAUACUGUCAUGUGUGUUUCUUAACCCUGUGUCUGUAAGCGUGUGCAAUCCUUCAUGAACUCAUAUUUCAUCCUCACAGUAGAUUGGCUAAUCAUAGCGCUAGCCAAAGGCUCAUGACCCUCAAGAGACGAAUUGAGCCACAACUCUUUUAAAAGCACCACAUGCAAUAUGUAUAAAAAUCACUUCUAUGUAUAAGCUCUCCCCUUUAUCCUAAAAAUAAAUCUAUGUAAUAUCUGUAUGUGUAAGCCUACAUUAUAACCACUUCUUCUAGAAAUCAAAAAAAGAAAUCAAGCCUGUUCUACCCUCACUAAUUUUCCCCCUAAGAUUUAUUCACAGCUUUUAAAACAUUGUAUCUUCUAAACAGGAUUCAGUUCACUUUAACCCUUUAACCUUAAAAUAACAGUUUCAGUUUUACCAUACCCAAAUGAUCAACAAACCCCCAAACAUAAUUGCACAUAAUAAGAACCAAAAAAGUCCUAAAAUGAUCCUAAAUUAUUAAACCCCAAAUUCCCCAAAUUCCCCCUUUAUUUUGACACAUGAAAUGUGUCACAAUACAAACUUAAAAUGCUCAGUUUUCCCACUCAUGAUCCCAUCUAUGUCAUAAAAAUAAACUUAAAACAGAACAAUUAUCAGUCAUGUGUUCCUCUAAUUAAUGGUAACUGAGUUACAUCAAAAAUGUUUCCCUUUUAUUUGGCAUCCUCACAACAAUAUACUAUAACCCCAUAAUCUAACCCCAGUUUACAAAACAGAAAUUUUCUCUGGUAAAAGCCAAUCUGGAAAGCCCUUAUGUUUGCACUUCCCGAGAAUCUGUCAGCGCUGUUGCAGGCCUGCUUAGAACAAAAAUGAGAAAAAAUAGAGCUGAUUAUUAGCUCACAAAACACAAAACAAAAUCACCUGACAGGUUUUCUUUAAGUGCACUGUUAUAAAAUAAUGGGCCCCUCAGACAUGUCCAUGUUUCCUAAAACUCCCUCUAUUAAAAACAAAAACAGCAACAACCCAACCCUUACUGACAGAAUCCACCCAUCAACAACCCCAAACACAAAAGUUUUGCCACCACAUAAUUCGCACCUCCUCAGUACACCAAAAAUCUCAUUAAAACCACACAAUUUGCACACAAAAUUCACCCCCUUAUGCUCUUUAACAUACUUAAAUUCAGCAUAAGACCCCUUACGACAUCAUAUAAUCACUAACCUCUAAAUUCCUACCCAAGUCUGCACUUCUCGUCUCUGCUAUGCUUCCUUUUCUGAAAGUCACACACACAGGAAACUUCGUCGUCACCACUCACUCCAACUAAUUUGCAUAUUGAGUCAUCUCAAGAAGAUGUCGUAACCAGAGAAACAUAUGUUUAAACAUUAUCUCCUUCUUAAAUUAUUUUAUUUCUGUCUACAGUGAUCACUAGCGUUGUUUACUCAGUACACGAGCACUCCUAAGUCAUUGUUAUUUUUUAAAACUACUUUAAUCACUUUUUUUGUUUUCAUAACUCACUCCCUAUGUCAUAUGGCUUCUUCUAUUCCUCAUUAACAAACUCAAAUGUAUUUUAUUAAACAUUCACACCAUUUUAUCAUUCAUACAAAAUAGCAAGCUGUUCUUAGCCAGGUUUAAUCUGUGUCUAUGCAUUAAUCUCCAUGAGCUUGUCUUCAUACGGUUAAUGCAUUUUCUGCUUGUGUAUGUGAAUUUGCAUAUGUUGCUUUUGCAGUGUUUCAGGCUCCUGCACAAUUCUCCACUUAAGCCGUCAGUUUUCUUUCCCAAAUUUACUAACCCAAAUUUUAAGUUCCCCCUUUAAAUAACAGCAUUUCCUUGUCCUCAGCCCCAAGUUAGGGCUCCACUUGUCAGGUUUGUGGAGACAUGGCGCUGUGAAAAAUUCAACCAGAAACUUGCCUUGGCAUGUCCAGUCAAGUUAACCUAUAGGUUUCUUCCGACCGCUGAAUGUGGACAAAUGAUCCAGAUCUGUUUCGUACCUAAAGAAACACAACUGAGACAUUUUCAUUAUUAUCAUAAGUACUUAAACUACCUGUUUCCCUCUCUGGUUAGAAAUAUCAACUUAUGUCAUGUAUAUACGUGUAAGCAGGUCUUCAUUGCGUUUCCUAUGUAUUUUUGUUCAGUGAGUGUAAGCUGCUUUCUUCAUUGCCUCUGUAUGUUGUAAUCAGGUUUAAUUAAUGCACUGAUUUCUUAAUUCAAAACUAUCUCACUUAUUCUUUCCAGAAAUAAUUUCACAUGUAACACCUUGUCUAUGUGUUUUCUAUUCUUGUUUACCUCUUUGUUUAUGACGGUGGACAUCCCUAAACCAUCAUGAGUUCAGGCUUCACUUUCAGUCCAAUUCCACCCUGUAUUCUCACAAUCGAACUCAGGCUUCACUUCUCACUGGUCCCUUUUCUCUCAGUGUUCUUUUUGUUGUCUUGAAUUCUCCAGCAAACACAGUCCGUUUCUUCUCUGUUUCUCUUCAGUAUUUUCCUUUUGGAUUAAAUCCAGCCUGGCAAAAUAUCACAUUCAGUGCCUUUAAACAGUUAUGUCGCACUGUUCUUACCAGCCUGCUGUUCACCGUGCAUGUUUCAUCACGUGGUUUCUUCUUCUCUGUUGAUCCUUUCACUCGUCUCUUUCAACUCCAAGCAUGGCAAAUCUGACAAUCAGUGUCCAGUGCUUUCCACAGCUCAUUAUUCCACUGUUCAACUGCCCAGCCUGUAAUUUACAGUACAUGUUGCGUCGUCUGCUUUUCCAUGCCGCUGCUGGUCCCGUCAGUUUCGGUUUCAGUGUUGCACUGAGUUUUGCCUGCUAUUAAUUCCGCGAUGUUCUGUCGGUCUUCAUCCGGAGAUUAACUGUCCUUUGAGCUUCUUCUCAGGAUGGGGGACAAGUGUGAGGUCAAGCUGUGAAACUUUAAGCCAAAAUCUGGCCUGUCUUCUCCCCAUUAUGCUACUCUAUUGGUUUUGGCGCCGUACUCAAAAUUCCAGGUUGAGAGAAGUCCACCUUUAUUCAUCUGUUUGUUUAUAACAUUCUACUUUAGUUCUACUAAACCUUAAUGUAAAAACAAUACACUCUUAUUUCAUGCACACACUCUGCAGUUUGCCCACACACACUUCUCUCUCAGACUUCCUUUUACGGGCAUGUAACUUCCUGUCACACACCAUUUCCUGUCACAGACAGCUUCUCAGAGCUCAAGCUGCUUUUUUGUUUCUUUUCAAGCUAAUCAGACUCAUUUCAUAUUUACAAUCUACAAAACCCUCUGUAAUUCUAGUAGCUUUUGAUCUAAAAUCUAGCAUCAUUCACACAAUGAUUUCAUAAUCCUCUCACACACACUGCCUUUUAGAUAAACUAAACUCUUUGCAUUUGUCAGCAUUCACAUCACAGUCUUCAACAUGCUCACUUUCACUCAGUACCAGACGUGGAGAUGGACAUCUCCUUUACCUAACAUAAAACUGAAUUACCAUAUCAACAUACAAUUACUAAAAUUCAAACUCAAAUACACCGUCUGUUUUAAUAAAGUCAAAGAGUAAACGGGUGUACCAAGUGUAUGUACUUAUGUGUUUUUGAACUGAAAGAAAAGAAAAGAAAAGAAAGAAACACAAACUCUUAAAUUAAAACACUUUCAAACUUUAAAACAUCCUACUUUACAUCACCAAAGAAAUACCUCUCACACCUUUGGUUUAAAUCACCAUUCAUCAUUCAAAACCUUCUAGUCACCACAUUCACACUUAAACUGUGACCAGAGUUGAGGAAUAUACCUCAAAAACACACUUUCUUAAGAGUAUUUUAGACAUGCCUUUCAUAAUCAAAAAGAACAAGUAAACAAAAACAAACAAAAAUUGAAACCUCCAUUACUUCUCACCGCACACACAAGAAAUUUAAAAAUAAAACACACCAACAACUAUUGCUGGAGACAAGUUACUACUGAAAGUAAUCUGUUAAUCUUAAGUAUACACAGUGCACUCAAUAUAUUUAUAUCUACAUCCAAACUCAGUCAAUCACUAUACAUCCUCUGUAACUCAAAACUUUAUUUAUAACCCUCUAAUAAACAAAAAUGGCAUUUUAAGCACACUCAACAAUGUUUGCAGCAGCAUUUUAAAACCAACUGUGGCUUAAACAGUUCACUGCUUACUAAUUUGCAUUUUCACACUCACACAGACUCCGUCUAAAAAUAACACCAAGCAGUCAGUGCAUUACUGACUUGACACACAGAAAUCUCUUAUUUUAUAUUUACAAAGACGUCUUAUAUUUACAACUGCACAGAUUUUAGGCCUUUUUAACACCUACCGAAUUUCGACAAAUUUAACUUAACAGUCCAACCGAUAAACUCCCUGAGUUUUUUGCGACCAAUUAACCAGUCUCGGUCCCGGACCGUGGCCCGAUUUCUAUUUCCUAAAUAAAUUUAUAAGCAUUAACCAACCCAAACUUUGCCUGAAGCUCUAUUUUUG